rnacentral:misc_RNA from 1 species
AUAUUCAUAGCUGCCUGCAACAAUGGUAUUAAGAAACUUCUCAAGCCAGAGACACAAUGGACACAAUAACAGCCAUGUAAAGAAAACAUACCAAAAAUAAGACUAGCACAGCAUCAUAAGUAAGUGUGCAACUGUUUUAUAUAACUAUGAUGCACGCCAAAAGCAUACAAAUCCUAAACAAUUACGUGCAACACCACAUGCUGCAAAUCAUAAACUAGUUUUCCACAAGUUAAGCUAUUUCACUGCAGCUCCACUUUUGAACUAUAUAAGCUGAUUAUUGAAAGUUCAUGCUACUGCAUUUGUAACUCUCUUUUUACUAGAUAAAGGAAGCUGUCUAGCAAUCUCAGCAAGUCAGGAUUAAUAUUUACCUCCAACAAUCAUAUCAGUUCUACAAGAGGGUAUAUUUUGUACCAUGUGAUAUGACACUAAUCCUAGGUGAAAUCUGAAGAGUAAUCUUACAUUACGUGUCUAUAAUCUGAUGCAUGGGAAAACUUUCCAACCUAGUGCAAGACCCAAGGACCACCAGAAUAACUUCCUUUUCCUUAAGAUUACAUUCACUAGUGUUACUAAGGAAGAACUAAGAACAUGAUUCUUGGUGCUCAAUAAUAAUUAUAAUCCUUUCUAAAUUGCCAAUAUAUAACAGUAAUAGUUAUAGUAAUAAUUAAAACAAUAACAAAAUAAUUAGGCAUAUGAGAUUGAUAGUCUCCAUUAGAAAAACAUAGAAUUCUGCAAUAGUUGUUUACCACCUAAAAUAUUGAACUGAGAAAAAAAGGUCCAGAAUGAGAAAGAAAACAGCAUUUGCAGAUAUAUUCACAGAAAAAAAUAACUCAA